GUGAAUCAUCGAAUUUUUGAACGCAUAUUGCACUCUCUGGUAUUCCGGAGAGAAUCCUUAUUUGAGGGUCAUUUGAAAAGGUUUAAAUUCAAAGAUUUCCCGGAUUUUAAAAUGGGUUGUCAAUUUUUUGUGGUCGCUUAAAACCCAAGACAAGCUAAUUUUCUUGGGUUGCGUGAUCCUUUCAGUUACU
rnacentral:misc_RNA from 1 species